rnacentral:rRNA from 1 species
AAUGAACGUUGGCGGCAUGGAUUAGGCAUGCAAGUCGAGCGAGAAGAGUUUUGAAGCUUGCUUUAGAACUCGGACAGCGGCGAAAGGGAGAGUAACGCGUAGUUAUGUGCCCUAGGGUCCGGAAUAGCCACGGGAAACUGUGGGUAAUGCCGGAUAAUAUCCCCGGAUCAAAGGUGUGAUUCCGCCCUAGGAGCAGACUGCGUCCUACUAGCUAGUUGGUGGGGUAAUGGCCCACCAAGGCAAUGAUGGGUAGCGGGUGUGAGAGCAUGACCCGUCUCACUGUGGCUGAGACACUGCCCAGACACCUUCGGGUGGCUGCAGUCGAGAAUCUUCGGCAAUGGGCGAAAGCCUGACCGAGCGAUGCCGCGUGCGGGAUGAAGGCCCUCGGGUUGUAAACCGCUGUCGUAGGGGAGGAAGGUUCCGUGAAGAGCGGGACUUGACCUAUCCUAGGGGGAAGUACGGGCUAAGUUCGUGCCAGCCGCCGCCGUAA